rnacentral:rRNA from 1 species
GAUGAACGCUGGCGGCGUGCCUAAUACAUGCAAGUCGAGCGAAUGGAUUAAGAGCUUGCUCUUAUGAAGUUAGCGGUGGACGGGUGAGUAACACGUGGGUAACCUGCCCAUAAGACUGGGAUAACUCCGGGAAACCGGGGCUAAUACAGGAUAACAUUUUGAAACGCAUGGUUCGAAAUUGAAAGGCGGCUUCGGCUGUCACCUAUGGAUGGGCCCGGGUCGCAUUAGCUAGUUGGUGAGGUAACGGCUAACCAAGGCAACGAUUCGUAGCCGACCUGAGAGGGUGAUCGGCCACACUGGGACUGAGACACGGCCCAGACUCCUACGGGAGGCAGCAGUAGGGAAUCUUCCGCAAUGGACGAAAGUCUGACGGAGCAACGCCGCGUGAGUGAUGAAGGCUUUCGGGUCGUAAAACUCUGUUGUUAGGGAGGAACAAGUGCUAGUUGAAUAAGCUGACACCUUGACGGUACCUAACCAGAAAGCCACGGCUAACUACGUGCCAGCCGCCGCGGUAA